GACGAACGCUGGCGGCGUGCUUAACACAUGCAAGUCGAACGGAAAGGCCCUGCUUUUGUGGGGUGCUCGAGUGGCGAACGGGUGAGUAACACGUGAGUAACCUGCCCUUGACUUUGGGAUAACUUCAGGAAACUGGGGCUAAUACCGGAUAGGAUCUCCUGCUGCAUGGUGUGGGUUGGUAAGUUUCGGCGGUUGGGGAUGGACUCGCGGCUUAUCAGCUUGUUUGUGGGGUAGUGGCUUACCAAGGCUUUGACGGGUAGCCGGCCUGGGAGGGUUACCGGCCACAUUGGGACUAAGAUACGGCGCAGAAUCCUACGGGAGGCAACAGUGGGAAAUAUUGCACAAUGGGCGGAAGCCAGAUGCAGAAACGCCGCGUGCGGGAUAACGGCUUUCGGGUUGUAAACAGCUGUCGAAGGUGACGAAGCGUGAGUGACGGUAAUGGGUAAAGAAGCACCGGCUAACUACGUG
rnacentral:rRNA from 1 species